rnacentral:rRNA from 2 species
AGGAAUCUGCCUGGUAGUGGGGGACAACGUUUCGAAAGGAACGCUAAUACCGCAUACGUCCUACGGGAGAAAGUGGGGGAUCUUCGGACCUCACGCUAUCAGAUGAGCCUAGGUCGGAUUAGCUAGUUGGUGAGGUAAAGGCUCACCAAGGCGACGAUCCGUAACUGGUCUGAGAGGAUGAUCAGUCACACUGGAACUGAGACACGGUCCAGACUCCUACGGGAGGCAGCAGUGGGGAAUAUUGGACAAUGGGCGAAAGCCUGAUCCAGCCAUGCCGCGUGUGUGAAGAAGGUCUUCGGAUUGUAAAGCACUUUAAGUUGGGAGGAAGGGCAGUAAGNUAAUACCUUGCUGUUUUGACGUUACCGACAGAAUAAGCACCGGCUAACUUCGUGCCAGCAGCCGCGGUAAUACGAAGGGUGCAAGCGUUAAUCGGAAUUACUGGGCGUAAAGCGCGCGUAGGUGGUUCGUUAAGUUGGAUGUGAAAGCCCCCGGGCUCAACCUGGGGAACUGCAUCCAAAACUGGCGAGCUAGAGUAUGGCAGAAGGUGGUGGAAUUU